UACGUAGGGUGCAAGCGUUGUCCGGAUUUACUGGGCGUAAAGAGCGCGCAGGCGGUCGUUCAAGUCGCGUGUGAAAGCCCCCGGCUCAACUGGGGAGGGUCACGCGAUACUGAUCGACUGGAAGGCAGGAGAGGGUAGUGGAAUUCCCGGUGUAGUGGUGAAAUGCGUAGAUAUCGGGAGGAACACCAGUGGCGAAGGCGACUACCUGGCCUGUUCUUGACGCUGAGGCGCGAAAGCUAGGGGAGCAAACGGG
rnacentral:rRNA from 1 species